AUACGGAGGAUACGAGCGUUAUCCGGAUUUAUUGGGUUUAAAGGGUGCGCAGGCGGACCGUUAAGUCAGGGGUGAAAAGUUCGGGCUCAACCUGAAUCGUGCCUUUGAUACUGGCGGACUAGAGUGCGAUAGGCGUGGCCGGAAUGUGGUGUGUAGCGGUGAAAUGCUUAGAUAUGCCACAGAACACCGAUCGAGAAGUCAGGUCACGAGUUCGCAACUGACGCUCAUGCACGAAAGCGUGGGGAUCAAACAGGAUUAGAUACCCUGGUAGUCCACGCCGUAAACGAUGAUCACUCGUUGCCGGGCAGUGAUGUUCGGUGGCCAAGCGAAAGCGAUAAGUGAUCCACCUGGGGAGUACGAUCGCAAGGUUGAAACUCAAAUGAAUUGACGGGG
rnacentral:rRNA from 1 species